rnacentral:lncRNA from 1 species
GGUAGUCACACUUUUCCCUUUCUUUUGAGAAUUCCAAUGGCGCAACUUAUUAGCAGUAUUGUGAAGGCCUCCUUGCUAACGUACGCCCUCGUGGCUCUCUCCAUCGCUGUCUCUGCUCAGGCACCGGCGCCUUCACCAGACAAAGGAGAUGCGUUCUCUUUGCCAGUCUCCGGCGCCGUCGUUGCGACCACACUUCUCUUCUCCGCUUUUGCACUCUUGAGACACUGACUUGGAUCUCUCUCAAUCGAGUUAUUAUCGUUGUUAUUUGUAUUUCUCUGUGGUCAGUUAUGAAGUAGAUUAUUAUUAUUAUUAUUAUUAUUUGAUAAAGCGGGUUUUAAUUCUUCUGUAUCCGAAGUAAAAAUUUAUUUUUACUAUUUUUACAAGACAAAGCCAAUAUA